AGAGUUUGAUCCUGGCUCAGGACGAACGCUGGCGGUAUGCCUAACACAUGCAAGUCGAACGUGAUCUUCUGUAGUUUUACUAGCACUGAGCGAGAGAAGUGAAAGUGGCGGACGGGUGAGUAACACGUGGGUAACCUGGCCUUUGGAAGGGGAUAACCUCGGGAAACCGGGGCUAAUACCGGAUGAUAGUUGAGAUGUCGCAUGACAUAUCAAUGAAAGAAGGCCUCUCUUUUGAAGCUCCCGCUAAAGGAUGAGCCCGCGGCCCAUUAGCUAGUUGGUAAGGUAAUAGCUCACCAAGGCGACGAUGGGUAGCCGGCCUGAGAGGGCGAACGGCCACACUGGGACUGAGACACGGCCCAGACUCCUACGGGAGGCAGCAGUGGGGAAUAUUGCGCAAUGGGGGCAACCCUGACGCAGCAACGCCGCGUGAAUGAAGAAGGCCUUCGGAUCGUAAAGUUCUGUCAAAGGGGAAGAAGGCUCAUAAGAAAAAAGCUUAUGAGAUGACGGUACCCUUAGAGGAAGCCCCGGCUAACUACGUGCCAGCAGCCGCGGUAAUACGUAGGGGGCAAGCGUUGUCCGGAAUUACUGGGCGUAAAGGGCGUGUAGGCGGUUUUUUAAGUCAGAUGUGAAAAACCGGGGCUCAACUUCGGAAUUGCAUUUGAAACUGGAUAACUUGAGUACUGGAGAGGUAAGUGGAAUUCCUAGUGUAGCGGUGAAAUGCGUAGAUAUUAGGAGGAACACCGGUGGCGAAGGCGACUUUCUGGCUCAAUCCUGACGCUGAGGCGCGAAAGCGUGGGGAGCAAACAGGAUUAGAUACCNUGGUAGUCCACGCCGUAAACGAUGAGCACUAGGUGUAGGAGGUAUCGACCCCUUCUGUGCCGCAGCUAACGCAUUAAGUGCUCCGCCUGGGGAGUACGGUCGCAAGAUUGAAACUCAAAGGAAUUGACGGGGGCCCGCACAAGCGGCGGAGCAUGUGGUUUAAUUCGACGCAACGCGAAGAACCUUACCAGGUCUUGACAUUUCCUGAUGAUCGCAGAGAUGCGAAGUUCCCUUCGGGACAAGAGGACAGGUGGUGCAUGGUUGUCGUCAGCUCGUGUCGUGAGAUGUUGGGUUAAGUCCCGCAACGAGCGCAACCCCUGUAUUUAGUUGCUAGCAGGUCAAGCUGAGGACUCUAUAUAGACUGCCAUAGAUAAUACGGAGGAAGGUGGGGAUGACGUCAAAUCAUCAUGCCCCUUAUGACCUGGGCUACAAACGUGCUACAAUGGACUGAACAAAGGGCUGCCAAGUCGUGAGAUGGAGCUAACCUAUUAAAACUGUUCUCAGUUCGGAUUGAAGUCUGCAACUCGCCUGCAUGAAGUCGGAGUCGCUAGUAAUCGCGGAUCAGCAUGCCGCGGUGAAUGCGUUCCCGGGCCUUGUACACACCGCCCGUCACACCACGAGAGUCGGCAACACCCGAAGUAAGUGGCCUAACCAGUUUACGGAAGGAGCCGCCGAAGGUGAUAUCAGCGACUGGGGUGAAGUCGUAACAAGGUAGCCG
rnacentral:rRNA from 1 species